rnacentral:sRNA from 1 species
UCCCGUCGGGGUUCCAUAGAUGAUGCGC